ensembl:ncRNA C52E4.15 ncRNA
UGUUUGUUUGGACACGGAUUUGUGUCAUUUUGGGGAGGAACGAGAGAGACCUCUCCCCAUCCUCUUCGUUUAUUGUUAUGGUUUGGGUCAUAACUUUUUGUUUCCUUUUCUUCUCUCAGUUUUAUGACAUGUGG